GAUGAACGCUGGCGGCGUGCCUAAUACAUGCAAGUCGAGCGAACAGACGAGAAGCUUGCUCCUCUGACGUUAGCGGCGGACGGGUGAGUAACACGUGGAUAACCUACCUAUAAGACUGGGAUAACUUCGGGAAACCGGAGCUAAUACCGGAUAAUAUUUUGAACCGCAUGGUUCAAUAGUGAAAGACGGUUUUGCUGUCACUUAUAGAUGGAUCCGCGCCGCAUUAGCUAGUUGGUAAGGUAACGGCUUACCAAGGCAACGAUGCGUAGCCGACCUGAGAGGGUGAUCGGCCACACUGGAACUGAGACACGGUCCAGACUCCUACGGGAGGCAGCAGUAGGGAAUCUUCCGCAAUGGGCGAAAGCUUGACGGAGCAACGCCGCGUGAGUGAUGAAGGUCUUCGGAUCGUAAAACUCUGUUAUUAGGGAAGAACAAAUGUGUAAGUAACUAUGCACGUCUUGACGGUACCUAAUCAGAAAGCCACGGCUAACUACGUG
rnacentral:rRNA from 1 species